ACGGUGCAGCAGCAGCGAUGUCCCAAUGCCUCAGUGAGGCUUCUUAAAGCUGUGGCGAAGGUGAGUCUGGGCCCCGCCCCUAGGCCAGGUGGAAUCAGCCUGAAGAGGGAGCGGCCUUCCCCAACACUCACGGUGCAGCAGCAGCGAUGUCCCAAUGCCUCAGUGAGGCUUCUUAAAGCUGUGGCGAAGGUGAGUCUGGGCCCCGCCCCUAGGCCUGGUGGAAUCAGCCUGAAGAGGGAGCGGCCUUCCCCAACACUCACGGUGCAGCAGCAGCGAUGUCCCAAUGCCUCAGUGAGGCUUCUUAAAGCUGUGGCGAAGGUGAGUCUGGGCCCCGCCCCCUAGGCCUGGUGGAAUCAGCCUGAAGAGGGAGCGGCCUUCCCCAACACUCACGGUGCAGCAG